rnacentral:rRNA from 1 species
AGAGUUUGAUCCUGGCUCAGAUUGAACGCUGGCGGCAGGCCUAACACGUGCAAGUCGAACGGUAACAGGAAGAAGCUUGCUUCUUUGCUGACGAGUGGCGGACGGGUGAGUAAUGUCUGGGAAACUGCCUGAUGGAGGGGGAUAACUACUGGAAACGGUAGCUAAUACCGCAUAACGUCGCAAGACCAAAGAGGGGGACCUUCGGGCCUCUUGCCAUCGGAUGUGCCCAGAUGGGAUUAGCUAGUAAGUGGGGUAAAGGCUCACCUAGGCGACGAUCCCUAGCUGGUCUGAGAGGAUGACCAGGCACACUGGAACUGAGACACGGUCCAGACUCCUACGGGAGGCAGCAGUGGGGAAUAUUGCACAAUGGGCGCAAGCCUGAUGCAGCCAUGCCGCGUGUAUGAAGAAGGCCUUCGGGUUGUAAAGUUCUGUCUUUGGGGACGAUAAUGACGGUACCCAAAGAGGAAGCCACGGCUAACUACGU